rnacentral:tRNA from 1 species
UGAAUAAAAGUUUAAUAAAAUAUUUAAUUUGCAUUUAAAAGAUUUAGAUUUUCUAAUUAUUUAA